CUUGGAAUGAAAAUUCAAAUGAAAAUUACAAAUAUAAAUAUAGCUGCAAGCAGCGAUUACGGUGCCACUACAGAAGCAAGCCUCAGACCAACUGCAGUAAUGAGUAAUUAAAACCAUUUUAAGAUUAUUUUAGUCAAAAUGGGUGAAAAAUCAUAAAUAAAACCACUAGUAAUAUGAUUUCUUGGCUUAUCAAUUUUGACCAAUAGGUGGCGCUGUUACCAAAUUAAUGUAGCAUGGUCAGUGUGAGGAUACAAUGGCACAUACAAAGUUUGGUGUCAAUACGUCAAAUAUUUGCAUAGAUACAGCCUCAGAUGCAGUUUGGCACUGUGCCUAAAAUUUGUAGCAGCCCUGUAUGAAAACAGUUUUGCUUGUUGACACGAAAUCCAUAACGUUUUGUCACCACAGUUGGAAAAUCUUCUGACUUGAUUUUGGUGAAAAUUGGACCAAUGUUCGAGGAGGAGUUUGAAAAACUGACUGAGAUCAUGCAGCUGAUGAAUGCUUACUUCAGUGCCACCCGUCGCCAGCUGGGCAAGGAUGACUGCAUCUCCAUGGAGACAAACCCUAAGCUCCACCCCUCCCUACUUGAGCUCCCCUCUCACCCGGUGUGAAGAGAGAUGGACUCGCGCUCACCCACACGCACACACUGACUCUGACUGAUGUACACGUGCAUAUGCAGUCCUGACUGAUUGCUUCCCUGUGUGGAGCUUUUGCAAAGAGGACAAACUCAGAUGAGACUGAAAGGAGCAGAUGCUGUGGAAAUAGAAGAGGAGUGGAAGGUGUCCAGGGAGCCACAAACAGGAGAGCAGUUUCAGGAACUCACUUGCUACACCGCCAGCCAAAUCCAGAAAGAACACGGGGCCCUCCGCCGGCCCCUGCCACCUGGGAGCCAGCCAAAUAUCACAGACAGCAUAAUAGCCUGACUUCAGAGAUGAACAGAGAGAAAAUCAUUUUCUGAAGUAGAAUUUUUGCCUUGUUUUUAGUGUUUAAAUAUUUAAACAUCCUUAAAACAACAUGAAUUUAUUUUGACUUAUUUUGAACAAUUACGAUACAUAUAAUUGUCCUGAAAUUCAUUGAUUUUUAAGACUAACUUCAAAGAAUUUAUCUCAAAUUGAGUUAUUUUUUCUUAUUUUGCUUCUUAUGUAAAUUUACCUUGUUUGUAGGAUGUUUUUAUUUUUUAUUGGAAAAUAUGACAAAAAUACAGAUUUUUUGCAACGAUGUCUUUAUAUUGCACUACAGGAAGACAACACAAACACGCUGCCGUUGCACUCACAUGAAAACACUCGCUCUGCUUUAAACGUUCCUUUCCUGACUCUUGCCUGGAUCGUCAUUAAACUCAUUCAUCAAACCGUACAUGACCUUAAAAUGAAAGCAGGUGCAAGUCGACCUUCAGAACUGUCCAUUACUGAACCGGCAGUGGUGUGUGUGUGCGUGAGAGACAGAUUUGAACAUUUUAAGCUGUAGAAACCAAAGGAUCUUUAGCUCGUCUCUAUGAUGUGAGUGUAUUUGUGAAAUGCUUUGAGCCUGACCUGGUGCUGCUUGACUGUGCUGUGAGCUUACAGUAACUCUGCACUGUGCGUCCUGUAGCCAUGACAGCCUUAGAUCUUUAGAUCCGGUUAAAACCAACUAACUUAGACACAUUUGCAACCUGGUGCCUGUGUAGGUAAAUGACAUUUUCAACAACAAAAAAACCCCCAGAUAAUUCAGGUUCAAACCAUGUUUCCCAGACCUCCCAAUGCAUUUUCAAACACUGAAGAUAGACAAAUAAUCAACACUAUUGAUAUGCAAUCCCAUAUGGUGAAGACAGCACAUUUCUGUAGUUCACCCAAAAAUGAAAAUUCGUUUAUCAUUUACUCACCCUCGUGUUGUUCCAAGCCUGU
ensembl:lncRNA